UCUGUGAACAAGUCACCCAGCUUGAACCAUGCUUGGCCAUUCUCCAGGUUUAGUGUGGCAUUUUUCUGGGCAGGCAGCACCUUUAUCAUGCUGGUUCUCCAGGGAAGUCCCUCACAGAGAAGAAAUUUCAGUGGAUCACUUCCUCAUUCUGCUCUUCUGCUUCUACUUUCUCAGGCUAAAAGUUACCAGGAGCUUUUCAGCUGGGCAGUAGCCAUGUGGCCCCUGAACUGGCAUAAGCAUGAAUGCAGCUGUGGCAGAGGCUGUGGAGCUUGCUCUCAUCAGUGGAAGGUCUGGUCCUUCUGUGCAGUGGUGGUUACUCAAGGAACCAGGCAACCCCUGAGGAGUAGCUGACUGUGACAUUCCCCCUGUUCUCCUCCUGGCUGCUUGGAGCAUCCUGAAGCCCAGCAGGAGAAAAAACAGAACAAGUUGCUUCCUGAAGGUGGAGUUGGGAGAGAUGGCUGUGAUCACUGGGCCCUGCCCCUUCACUCCAAAGGGUUUGUCCUGCUGCCAGGAACUGCAUGUUGCUGUUCCUUGGUGUCUGUGAGUGCUUGGUGAGCUUCACCCUUGGAGCAAGCCUGAAUUGCUGAGGAUAUUCAAGAGAUAAAGUGAAAUCCAGAAGCUGAAUAUAGGCACUUUAUAAGGGUCGGGACAUGUUAGGAACUACCCUGCUGGAUCUGUGUUCGGAGUGGAGAAUUCACAUCCAUUUGCAGAAGACUGAAGCUAGUCAGUGAGAUAUCCUCUGCUCCUCCCACUCCCCAGCACUUAAUACAGUAUUAAAGUCUGUUGCAGCAGUUUGAAGGACUCACACUUUCCUCUGUACAAUGGUUUAUAUCUAAUACAGUAAUGUUUAUGCUCUUCCCUCGUGCUGGUGGUGAAUCUCCCUGUGUGACAAGCUCUUCAUUCAUUGGCAUGACCAUGGCAAGCCUGCUUUUAGCACUGUUUCCAAACUUAGCCAGUGCUUAGAACAGAUUGUUAGAGAACAGCAAGCUGGCACUGCUAACAAGGUGAGCUCAGGGGUUGUUCUGGGCUCUCAGCUGUCUGCCGGGUCUCUGUCACCUCAGAAAUAGCCUUCUCUGUUACAGAGAUCCCAAAAUGCUGCAGCCAACCUGCCUCACACUGGGCUGUAAGAGAGAGACAAGCAGGAGCUCAGACACUGGGUACCAAGUCAGGUCAUUUGCACUGAUUCUUCUGGCAUGAAGAGGGUUUACUCCACACAAAGACUUGUUGCAAUGUGUUUCAACAAGGGAAACACUUUUUCCUUGCUUGGCAGAAGUAUUUGUAGCCACACUGAAAGGCUAGUUUGUUACCAGGGAGCUUGUAAGAUGUUUGUCCACUUAAUCACAAAAAGCUGCAGAGACCGUAAAGAUGUUUCUGCAGGUGUCAGAGGGGCCAACUGGAUGGGAAAAGCAACAAGAAUCCCUCCCCAUGCUGCUCCCAUCUGCCAAGUCAUGAGUGCCACCCUGCAAUGUCAUCACUGUGGGACAUGGGCACCACGGUGGUGUUUGAGAAUGUCCCGUGGGAACCCACAGUCAGCACCAGUUGGUACUGGUCGGCCUUUGGUUGUUAUCUGGCAGGACAGAGCCUGGCUGGCCAGAGCAAUGGCUGCAGAAGAAAGUUUGAGCCCAAAUGAGAGAGGAUGGUUUUAAAGGGAGGCAUCAACAGCUAAAAUCUCCUCCUCUUCCUCAGACAAGCUGAGGGAGUCCUCAGGUUCAGCUUCUCCGGCCUCUACUGAGUGGGAUAGUCAAGCAGCUGUGGAUGUUGCUGUAGGAGCAAUGACAGCACUGACUGAAAGAGACAUUCCUCCUUCUUCCAAGGGGAGCAGUGGCUAAACUGAAGAUCUCUCCUUUCUCAAGCAGCUCUGGGAAAUUUCUCACAGUGAUGAGUUUCGUUCCAUUUGGUGGGUUGGUGAUGGAUUCUUUGUUGCCAUCAAUAAAGAAAUGUUCAAGGAUGAGGUGCUCGCGAGAAGAGGACUUGGCAGAGCCUUUGAAAUGGAGAGCAUGAGCAGUUUUCUUCAUCAACUUGACCUGUAUGGGCUGUGCGAACUGCCAUGUCCAGUUUGUCUAACUCCAGGGAUGAAUUUCCAGCAGAAGUAGCUGCUUCAGCUCCUACAAAGCUUCUAUGAAUCUGUUACAGCCCCAGCUUUAAGAUGGGAGCAUCCCCAGGUGCUGGAAAGGUACAAGCCAAGAGUGGGCCACAAAAGGAGGAGGGCCCCAGCUGCAUCAUGUCUGGAUGAGAAGCUGGAGGAAUGGCCAAUGAGAGAAGCUUCAGUCCACCUGUAGCAAAAGAAAAGGGAGCUGA